rnacentral:lncRNA from 1 species
AGUCUUUUUUGGUUUUGUUUUUCUUUGAAUGGCAGCUUUAGAUUGUUCUGGUUUUUGUGUGCUUACAAACAGGACUCCUCAUCUGUUUUUAAGAGGGAAAUCUGAGUUUUCAAGGAAAGCCGAAUACAGUUGCCAAGUUGCCAGUCAAAGAAACAAUGUCAACACCUGCUCAUAGAGAUGGAAUUCCUAACCCGGAAUAUUGCCCUUGAAUUACAACGAGAAAAAGAACACUUCUUAUUCCUGUAGCACCUCUUCAAGUGAGAUGGCAGACCACCUCAGGAUGGAAAUGUAUUUCUUCAUCCCCCUCUCUACUUCCCUGUGACCUCCUGCAAAUAAGGGAGAGACAAAGAGAAGAGCAGAAGAACAGAAGAAUGGAGUGGCAAAGAGAAGAGAAGGAGUGACUGAACAUUGACAAGACUUUGGUUGGGGAUGGUCAGAGAGGAGAUUAGCUGCUAGACGGCCACACUGCGGAGAAAGAUCAUUUUCCCACUCCAUCCCCCUUCCAGCUCCCCAUCCAUCUCACCAAGAGCCAGCUCCACCACUCAAUAAAACCUUACAUUCAUCUUUCAA